rnacentral:snoRNA from 1 species
NNGAUCUUGUAAGUCUCAUUCCAGUGCCACAUUAACCCCAGCUAGCAGAAGGGCCAGGUCUGUGAUCGUGGCUUUCCCCUUUCGAAGGCUGGGGACAGUU